CAGCAGCCGCCGCGGUAAUACGGAGGAUCCAAGCGUUAUCCGGAAUCAUUGGGUUUAAAGGGUCCGUAGGCGGUCUUGUAAGUCAGUGGUGAAAGCCCAUCGCUCAACGGUGGAACGGCCAUUGAUACUGCAGGACUUGAAUUAUUGGGAAGUAACUAGAAUAUGUAGUGUAGCGGUGAAAUGCUUAGAGAUUACAUGGAAUACCAAUUGCGAAGGCAGGUUACUACCAAUUGAUUGACGCUGAUGGACGAAAGCGUGGGUAGCGAACAGGAUUAGAUACCCGAGUAGUCCCUGUCUCUUAUAC
rnacentral:rRNA from 1 species